rnacentral:rRNA from 1 species
GACGAACGCUGGCGGCGUGCUUAACACAUGCAAGUCGAACGGAAAGGCCCUGCUUUUGUGGGGUGCUCGAGUGGCGAACGGGUGAGUAACACGUGAGUAACCUGCCCUUGACUUUGGGAUAACUUCAGGAAACUGGGGCUAAUACCGGAUAGGAGCUCCUGCUGCAUGGUGGGGGUUGGAAAGUUUCGGCGGUUGGGGAUGGACUCGCGGCUUAUCAGCUUGUUGGUGGGGUAGUGGCUUACCAAGGCUUUGACGGGUAGCCGGCCUGAGAGGGUGACCGGCCAGAGGGGGGAGGAGAUGCGGACAGGACGUCUACGGGAGGCAGCAGGGGGGGAGAGUGAACAAGGGGCGGAAGCUUGAUGCAGCAACGCUGCGUGCGGGAAGACGGACUGAGGGGGGUAGAACGAGGGCGCCGGUGACGAUGCGUGAGAGACGGUAAGGGGUAAAGAAGCACCGACUAGCUUCGUG